GAUAACAUCAUUGGUCAUCGUUACGACAGACGUGAGAAGGGCUGCAGCAGAGGGGGUUAGGGCAGAGGGAAGGCAGGCUUGAAGAGACUCGAGUUUGAACCCUGGGUCAGGAAGAGCCCCUGGAGGAGGGCAUGGCGACCCACUUCAGUAUUCUUGCCUGGAGAAUCCCAUGGACAAAGAAGCCUGGAGGGCUACAGUCCCUGGGGUCGCAAAGGGCCGGACACAACUGAAGGGACAGCACAUACAUGCACGCAGUUGGCAUUUUUACAAUUCGGGCUCAAAAGGACAAAGGAGCCGAGAGGUCAGCUGAAUGACCCGUCACUCUUCUGAUCACUUCACGUGCCUGAACUCAAUGAAUGCUGAAACAACCCUUCUAAGUGCACAGGAUGUAGGCGAAUGGACUUCAGUAGUUGCAGCAAACGGGCUCAGUACUUGCAGCGCAUGGGGUUCCUUGCUCCACGGUGUGUGAAAUCUUCCUGGACCAGGAAUCGAACCUGUGUCCCCUGCAUUGGCAGAUGGACUCUCACCCACUGAACCACCAGAGAAGUCCAAGUGCAUGAUGGGUUUGUCUGAUGAUGAUGACACCAGAUCCUGGAGAGCUAGAAAUCCGAAACGUCUCUGCCUCUCUGUCCCACACACCUCGCAGAUCUCCUCUCAACUUGGGCUCCUCAAGGGCUCAAAAACCAGUUGUCUACUUUGGGGUGAUGCUUCCAUGAGCUCUUUAGAUCAUCCGUCUUUGCUUGAUCUCAAAAUAUCUACAGGAAACCAGUUCCAAGUCAUGGAAAUGCCAGGCCCAUGGCUAAGUGUGUUUUUAAUUUCAGUAGAUAGAGACAGAGAUCAAAUUGCCAACAUCUGUCAGAUCAUCG
ensembl:lncRNA